GGCAUAUCACUUGCUUUAUGUCUCUUCAGAAGCAAGUGCCAACGGCGGCAUUUGCUGACCGUAUAUUCGACAAUGGCGUCGU
rfam:Pseudomonas sp. HPB0071 genomic scaffold aczIi-supercont1.1, whole genome shotgun sequence.